rnacentral:sRNA from 1 species
GAAAGUCUGAAAACCGAGCUCAGUUUCUUCGCAACUCUUUGAGAUUUAAGCCACAUUUAGCGGCAGAUGACUUGCAAACGUUUUAUUUAAUUUUUGUUAUUACGUCGGCUACGAGACGAGUCGCGGGUGUUUUCUUUUAACAAACGAGUGUAUGUGUUUACGUGCGUGUAUGUAGUAGGUUUAAAUGCAUGCAUGCAUGCAUUGGCAACAACAAUUGCAGGCAUAUCAGCAAUCAGCCAACCAACCAAAAAAUACUCAUAGAAAAAAAUAUAAAAAGUAUACAAAAACAACAACAACAGCACAGAAAAAAAGAAAAAGAAAAAUAUCGAAACUUAUAACUACAGUGAAAUCGCAUUUUUGUUAACACCGUAGUGAAAAAAAUCAAAGUUUUUACACAUCAACAAACAACAAGAGAAAAUCAUCAACGAAGAAACAAAAACAAAAGCAAAAGCAAUAAAUGUGCUAGUGUCAGCAGAGAAUUAUGGUACAUGAAGAUGUAUGUUAAAGAAAUGUAAACAUCUUAAGUGCAAUCAAAAAAAGAAAAAGUUGGACAAUGCAAAAGAAAGGGUGAAUAUAAAAUCAUAGGAAGUGUGGGUACCACUAUCAUGUUUCUUUAUUAUGAAAAAAAAAAAUCAGAUUGCAAAUUUAAGUGGUGAAUUGCUGUUGUAAAUAACAAAUUUAAAGAGAAACAACCUAUGGAAAGUUAUACGUUUUUUUUUACAAAAAAAAAAAAUUAAAUAAAAAACGGCUUCAAAUGUUCAAGUUUGUUUUUUUUGUUUGUGCCUUGGUUUCGAAUUCUUGUAUUUUCUAAGAAUUUCAAUGCAACUUUGUUUUGCCAAAGAAUUUCAUAUAUUAUUCAGAAACCAAAACCACACACACACACACACACACACUCAUUGGAAUAGAACUCAAAUUGUGUUAACGAACGUUGUGAUUUAUGACCGGGCUACCUACCAAAUCGUUUCAUUUCGUUUGCAUAAAAUAUACGAGUACAACUCUAUUUGACAAAUGGUUGCUGGUGAAUGAGUUAGAGUCUGCGAGAGAGUGAGCGGAAGAGAGAGAGACAGAGUGGGAGAGCGAAAAACAGAGACGUAAAAUGUUUUCGUUGUUCAAUUUCGUGCAUUUUACCAUGUAAACUUUAAAAGAAAGU